rnacentral:rRNA from 1 species
CCCUUAGAUGUCCUGGGCCGCACGCGCGCUACACUGACAUGUUCAACAAGCCUCCUAGUUCGACAGGAUUUGGGAAAUCUUUGAACGCAUGUCGUGAUAGGGAUAGAUCAUUGCAAUUAUUGAUCUUGAACGAGGAAUUCCUAGUAAACGCGAGUCAUCAGCUCGCAUUGAUUACGUCCCUGCCCUUUGUACACACCGCCCGUCGCACCUACCGAUUGAAUGUCUCGGUGAAGAUUCCGGAUAGGACUUUUUUGAUUUAUUUCAAUUUUGUCUUAAAAGCUAUCUAAACCUCAACAUUUAGAGGAAGGUGAAGUCGUAACA